UACGUAGGGGGCAAGCGUUGUCCGGAUUUAUUGGGCGUAAAGAGCGCGCAGGCGGUCGUUCAAGUCGCGUGUGAAAGCCCCCGGCUCAACUGGGGAGGGUCACGCGAUACUGAUCGACUGGAAGGCAGGAGAGGGUAGUGGAAUUCCCGGUGUAGUGGUGAAAUGCGUAGAUAUCGGGAGGAACACCUGUGGCGAAGGCGGCCCUCUGGACGGAUACUGACGCUGAGACGCGAAAGCGUGGGGAGCAAACAGG
rnacentral:rRNA from 1 species